GAAGAACCAGUGCCGCCCAGUUCCUAACAGAAAACUGUCCAGACACCUGUCCACUGUGCCAAGCGGGAGGGGCACCGCAAUCUUUUGGCAUCGGUGGGAUGGCUCAGGAGGUCCCAGGUCAUUGCUUUGGUAGCUAACUGGUGCCAAUGCUUGCUUAUUCGAAUUGGCUUCCAGUUCGUUUGGACCCUCUCCGCUUGUUCAGGGGGAGGUCAGGCUGCCUGGACUGCUGAGUCACGUCCCCUGUGCCCUUAGGAGCAAAUAACCAUGCUUAUUUACUUGGGAAAUACCUACAUACUUGAAACCUGCGCUCAGAAAGCAACUUUUUGGCUCUCUUUUUAUAUUAUAAAACUUGGCAAAUCUCGAAUGAGAUCAAACUAAUUUUCAGACCUCGUUUCACUUGGUAUGCCUUCCUAGAUUAUAUUGUUCAUGCAAACACAUUAUUCCCGACACACACACACACACACACACACACACACACACACACACACACACACACACACACACCUUUGUAAACCAGGCUGGCCUCAGAUCGCCGCCUGCCUCUGCCUCCUGAGUGCUGGGCUACACAUUUUCUUUGUGAAAACUGGCCAUUUGUUCAUCGGAGAGAAUAACCCACAUCUCCACAACUCCAGGAAGUCACAACUUGAGUGUUUGCAGUGUGAAGGGGUCGAAUCCACCACGAUGGAGAAGGCACGGACGGCAGCAGGAAGGAGGCAGCUGAUCCCAUCUCACCCACAAAGGUGAGGAAAGUCAGGAAACAAAGAUCCACGCUGUGCCCAGCUCGCUUUCUCCCCUUCAUUCACGUAUGACCCCAGGCAGUGGGAUGGUGCUGCUCUUCCCACUCUCAUUCGUCUAGAAAGCUGCUCACGACAUGUCCAGAGCCCGUCUCCUCUGUGAUCCUGGAUCCUGCAGAUAUUAACCGCCACAGCUCCCACUGCCUGAGCCGUAAGAUUACAUACAGCUGAAGUGAUUCAAAAGGCCGACACCUAAAAAGUAUUUCGAAAAGCAGAAUGCCAAGGGGAAACGACAACAGGACAGAUGAUUUCAAACCUUCUUUGAUCUUCAUGUAUACCCAAGGGGCUCAAAAGCAAAAAACAAGAUAUCCUGGUAUACAAGAACCAGAAAAACUAGGAUCCAUAUCUACUUCAUCGUCUCAUCUUGCUGCAAGAGGAAAGAAAAAGCAAGAUUAGUAACACUCACUCCAAGCUAAUCAUUUUUUCUGUGAAGACUGAGAAGACAAUCAUUUCCAGUAAGCGGUUCCCUUAAAUCACAGCCGUCACGUGGAUGAGGGAGGCCCUGGGUUUCUGAGUUUUUAGCACCCAUGGUUGUACUCCUAAGAACAAACAUUACUUGGGUUUAUCUACAGUAGGUCUCUUUAGCCCAAAGAAACCACACUGUGUGUUGUGAUAUUUUGUUUGUGUUCUGACAAAUCAAGUUUGCCUGGAGACCAGAGUGUGGAGCUAGCCACUAGUUAACCUUAGAGGCCAGGCAGUGGUGGCACACACCUUUCCUCCCAGCACUUGGGAGGAGGAAACAGGAAUAUAAGGUGGGUGGAGACAGAUCUCGGCUUCCCAUUCGGUCUGAAGAUUUGUAGAGGUAAGAAGUCUCUAGCGGCUGCUGCUCUGCUUCUCUGACCUUUCAGCUUUCACCCUAAUAUCUGACUCUGGGUUUUUAUUGUUAAGAUUAAAUAGAUUCAGCAACACUGUGGGUUUUUCUGGGACUUGUUAUUUUCAUUCAACAUCUUGGUUACCUUCAAGCCUCCCCCAGCUGGAACCCCAGGCACUCACUUCAUCUCGACUGCUGCAGCAGUUGUUUCUGCGGGAACCUCAGACCCUCCUGUGUGGGCUGAGGUCUAAGGCUGCCUGUCUUGUCUCCUGUGAGCUAGUUGUUUACUUCCCUCAGAACAUUAGCUGUGGAAAAUACGUGAGGCCUGAGACGGAGGCAUCUUCCUCCAGAAAAGACUGACUUUGCUUCUUACAAGAAAAGGAAACUACAGUUCAUCCUCAAUUCCAAGUCUACACUUUCCAAAUAGUACAGAUUUCAGCUGAAAUUGGAAUAAGGGCUUGGUUUUUAUUAUAAAUUCUCAGAAUGUUUGUUCUAAGUUCAGGACCAGAGUUAUUUUCAAGGGCUGAAAAAGGCCAGUGGGAAUUUAUUUUUAGUUUGCUGCUCUUCUGAGAUAGUUCAGCUUUAUUGAAAGAAUCUGCAUUAGACUUCAUUUCAGCCAAGCCCUGGGAUGUCCAUUCUGCCCCAGGAUCAUAAGGCUUCCCUAGCUAGACAAGCACCUUCAGACAAAAGCCAGCUCCUGCUCCACCUACCUCUUUAAAGGGGUUCCUUCUCACCUCUUUCUGAGCCGAGUCUUUUUUUUAUAUUAGCUAAGAGGUACAUUCAGUUUACUUUUUCCUUUCAGUAUUUCACUGGCCAUUCUUAUUUUCUCAGAAGGAGGGCUGACCAUCCUCCACAGUGCUCCAGGUGGUGGUCUAUCUCUUCUCUACAUUGUGUGCGCAUGCCCAUACACAGAUGUAAGGUGUGUGUGUUUCUGGAUGAAAUGUACGUGUACAGUUUCAAACUGACAAGGCAGAAAGGCUAGCAGGAGAACAGGAUUCCUCCUCUUCUGUAACUCUUCUCCAGAGCCAGAGACACUAACACUCUGAGAAACUGGACUUGAUAAAAACUUUUAAACAAAAAUCACAGUAUACUUCAGUAAAAAUACUGAAUGAGACAACCCAGCUGUCACUUUCUUCUUUCAGUUUUGGUUUGGAAACAGAAUACUGCAGAUGUGUCCAUUUCAAGAGACACUCGCACGCGUAAGGACUAGAAUACAGGAGUCAUCAGGAAGAUGAAACAAAUAUAAUUUAAAAAUAUUGACCUUUUAAGAUGCAAAGCAUUGAAGAUCAAAAGAAGGCAUUUUAACAGUAAAAUCCAUAAUCCACGGUGAACAUAUAAUCAUGAUUUUUAUAUUAAAUCAUAGAGCAAUUAUCUUUCUGAAACAAAGACUAGACAGAGUAGACAGACGGGGCAUAGCAAACACAUAGACUUCACCGCAGCACUUUUAGUUUAAGAAAGACGGGUCAGAGAGAAAACAGGAGACGAGGACAGAGUAAACCUAGGGAAAGUACCCCCAGAAAUGCAAAUGAACAGUACCAAGGUAAUAUUUCCCACCUGCUAUUGGCACAAAUUAAAAAAAAAACCAGUACAUUCCGUUAGGGUUGCAGGGUGCUCUCCUGGAGGGCUGCUGGGAAUGCGCACUGGUACCGGCAAAGAGAAGCAGUAUGUAUGCCUGAACCUCACGGGUUUAUGAAACCAUCUAAUCUUUAUAUAUCAAUCCAGGUGGUAAAGUGGUUCUAAUGGGAAUAUGGGAUAAUAAUUAUGAAAUUAUGUACUAGAAUUGAACAAACGAGUAAGUAUUUUCAGAUAAUGAGAACCAGGCUUCUCACUGAUUGAGAAAUCACAAACUA